rnacentral:rRNA from 1 species
AGAGUUUGAUCAUGGCUCAGGAUGAACGCUAGCUACAGGCUUAACACAUGCAAGUCGAGGGGCAGCAUGGUCGAAGCUUGCUUCGACUGAUGGCGACCGGCGCACGGGUGCGUAACGCGUAUCGAACCUGCCCUAUACACGGGGAUAGCCUUGCGAAAGUAAGAUUAAUACCCGAUGCCAAGUUGAGAUCGCAUGAUUUUGAUUUGAAAGAAAUUCGGUAUAGGAUGGCGAUGCGUCUGAUUAGGUAGAUGGCGGGGUAACGGCCCACCAUGCCGACGAUCAGUAGGGGUUCUGAGAGGAAGGUCCCCCACAUUGGAACUGAGACACGGUCCAAACUCCUACGGGAGGCAGCAGUGAGGAAUAUUGGUCAAUGGUCGCGAGACUGAACCAGCCAAGUAGCGUGCAGGAUGACGGCCCUCUGGGUUGUAAACUGCUUUUAGUUGGGAAUAAAAGGCGGUACGUGUACCGCGUAUUGUAUGUACCAUCAGAAAAAGGACCGGCUAAUUCCGUGCCAGCAGCCGCGGUAAUACGGAAGGUCCAGGCGUUAUCCGGAUUUAUUGGGUUUAAAGGGAGCGUAGGCGGAUUUUUAAGUCAGUUGUGAAAGUUUGAGGCUCAACCUUAAAAUUGCAGUUGAAACUGGAAGUCUUGAGUGCACGCAGAGGUGCCGGAAUUCAUGGUGUAGCGGUGAAAUGCUUAGAUAUCAUGAAGAACUCCGAUCGCGAAGGCAAGUGCCUGGAGUGCUACUGACGCUGAGGCUCGAAAGUGCGGGUAUCAAACAGGAUUAGAUACCCUGGUAGUCCGCACAGUAAACGAUGGAUACUCGCGGUGCGUGAGUAAUUAUGCGUCGCCAAGCGAAAGCGUUAAGUAUCCCA